CACACCCUUUCGGAGGCCCUUCAGGUGGCCAAUGCACUUAAGGCCACACAAUGGGUAUUAAUGCUGAACAGGGGCCCAGUCGGCGCCGCAGCCCUUUAAGAGCAUGACUGGACCCCUGUAGUGUCAGCCGAUAGCAGAUCACUUCCUCCCAGCUAUAAUCUAUACAGAGCCCACGUGGGAGGGAUGAAGGAGGAGGGAAGCAGUAGCGCACAGGCAGCAGUGAGGAAAGAAACACAGGAGUGAACUGCUGCAAACCCAUGCACUCACUCCCAUCAGCCUCAGCCCUCAAAAGCAAGGCUCCAAGCAAACCACCAUCCUGGAC